AGCAGCCGCGGUAAUUCCAGCUCCAAUAGCGUAUAUUAAAGUUGCUGCAGUUAAAAAGCUCGUAGUUGAAUUUCGGGAUCAAUAUGUUGGUCGUGCCUCGGUACGUACUAGCUUAUUGGUUUCUCCCUUCUGACGAACCAUGAUGUCAUUUAUUUGGUGUUAUGGGAAAUCAGGACUGUUACUUUGAAAAAAUUAGAGUGUUUAAAGCAGGCUCACGCUUGAAUACAUUAGCAUGGAAUAAUAAAAUAGGACGUUUGAUUCUAUUUUGUUGGUUUCUAGGAUCGACGUAAUGAUUAAUGGGGAUAGUUGGGGGCAUUAGUAUUCAAUUGUCAGAGGUGAAAUUCUUGGAUUUAUUGAAGACUAACUACUGCGAAAGCAUUUGCCAAGGAUGUUUUCAUUAAUCAAGAACGAAAGUUAGGGGAUCGAAGACGAUCAGAUACCGUCGUAGUCUUAACCAUAAACUAUGCCGACUAGGGAUCGGAUGAUGUUAAUUUUUAAUGACUCAUUCGGCGCCUUACGG
rnacentral:rRNA from 1 species